rnacentral:rRNA from 1 species
UACGUAGGGGGCAAGCGUUGUCCGGAAUCAUUGGGCGUAAAGCGCGUGUAGGCGGCUAGGUAAGUCUGCUCUGAAAGCCCGGGGCUCAACCCCGGGAGGCGGGUGGAUACUGUCUAGCUCGAGUCCGGAAGAGGAGUGUGGAAUUCCUGGUGUAGCGGUGAAAUGCGCAGAUAUCAGGAGGAACACCAAUUGGCGAAGGCAGCACGUGCGGUAC